AAUUAUACAUUUCAAAAACGUUUGGAGGUCCUUUUCCAGGCAGGAAAUAUAACACUGACCAGAGAACCAAGUUCCUCUCUUGGAUGGAUUGUUUCUGUUAAUUAUCACUCAAAUCUGAACGGUGUGGUAGGACGGAGGGAUACCUUGAAAUCUAAGAAAAGGGGAAAAAAGUGCAAUCGCUACAGUGAUACUUUAGCAGAAGUUUCUAUUGCUAAGUAUUGUGGAGCUCAGAGGAAGAAGUAAAGGCUUCAAGACGUUGAACUUUAAGCUGAGUCUUGAAGGCGGAGUCUUCAAGUUAAAGAAGAGGGGUUAAGGAAAGUCCAGGGAGAAGGAACUGCAUGAGCUGUGAAGAACCAUGAUGCAUUCUUGGAAUUGGUAGCAUUCCCUUUGAAAUAUGGAUUGAAACCCAGGAAGCAUGAAAGAAACAAGAAUUCAAAACUUUAAAUUAAGACAAGACUAUGGUAAAGAGUUUGGCAUUGAACAUUCAGGAAAUGUAACAACUAGAACGAGUAUAAAGGGAA
rnacentral:lncRNA from 1 species